CGAGUCCACACUGCUCCCUUCUCUAUCGAGAGUUUAGCCACAAGUGAGUCAUCCCCUCCAACACUGGUCUUUUACCAUCGUUAGCCUUUGUCAUCAGUUUGCUUCACCUCUUUAGAGGUUUCUUUCUCGGUUCUUCUUAUUUUUGAUCUUCUCUUGUUAAUCCUUUUCAUGACUUCUUCUAGUAGGGAGUUCGGAGAUGAGAAUCCGAUUGAUGAUUAGUGUUCUUGGGCUCCAACAACCCAGUAGGUGAUCGAGGAGAUUACUCGGGAUGAGUCUGAUGAGGUAUCUUCUUUGAUAGGAUCAAUU
rnacentral:lncRNA from 1 species